rnacentral:rRNA from 1 species
GAUGAACGCUAGCGGCAGGCUUAAUACAUGCAAGUCGAACGGUAACAGGUCUUCGGACGCUGACGAGUGGCGCACGGGUGAGGAACACGUACACAAUCUACCUUAUACUGGAGAAUAGCCCCGGGAAACUGGGAUUAAUACUCCAUAGUCUUUAAUGAUCACAUGAGAAAUAAAGUAAUGCUUCGGCGGUAUAAGAUGAGUGUGCGUCCCAUUAGAUUGUUGGUGAGGUAACGGCUCACCAAGUCGACGAUGGGUAGCUGGCGUGAGAGCGCGACCAGCCACACUGGCACUGAGACACGGGCCAGACUCCUACGGGAGGCAGCAGUAGGGAAUAUUGGUCAAUGGACGAAAGUCUGAACCAGCCAUGCCGCGUGGAGGAUGACUGCCCUCUGGGUUGUAAACUCCUUUUAUAUGGGAAGAAACCUCUGGAUUCACUCCAGAGCUGACGGUAUCAUAUGAAUAAGCACCGGCUAACUCCG